GUAGAUCUCAAUUUGCAUAUUUGCUAGUCACUUACCCUUAUUUAAAUGGAUAUGAAGGAAUUACUUAGAGUGGGGUUGUUUGGCUUUGUAGACAAGGAAAUUCAAGGAACUACUUGAGAAUACUUUUGGGUGGGAGUUCCAGCAAAAUAGUGCUGUUGAUGGAGUGUAUUUCGAUGAAGAUGAUGAAGUAAGCCUCAUAGACUCUCUCUCUCUCUCUCUCUCUCUCUCUCUCUCUCUCUCUCUCUAUAUGUGACUAAGAUUUCCUUGUUCUCUUUGCUUUUGCAGUUUGCUCCAACCAUUGAAAUGAUCGAUGACCAACAUCUGUAGUGUGGCUGUGACAGCGUGAACAUGUGCUUCAGUCUUCUGCUCUACUUCAUAAUGAAGCAUGGCGUUACAUCGAGGGGGAACUUGCAAUGAAUCGUCUCUCUAAUCAAGUUUACGAAUUUGUUAUGCUCUCGAAACCUUACCAGUUCAAGAUCAGUCCUAUGCCCUGCAAAUAGAAGCAUGUGGUUAAACCCCUGGUUCUCUUUUUCUCUUUGUAAAAGAAUGACUGGCUAUAGGAUAGGAUUUGACAGAUCGAGUCGGUAAUGGUUGAGGAAAGUGCUCUGUGACAUCUUAGAAGCUCCUGAAGACAUUUUUUUGUGGAAGUCAUGUAUAUUUGCAUUAGAUAGUUUGCCCUAGAUUUGAUGCACCAGUUGAAACAUAUGUUCUAGAGUCAUACUGCAAGGAGUCCAAGACUAUGGGCCAAAUCAUGUGUUGAAGCUGCAGCAAUUUAAUGGUAGUACAGUUACAAUAUCGCCUUUGACGGCCCAAGAAGCGAAAGCACUCACAUUUUGUUAUGGAUUUGAUGAACAAUCCGUAUCAAGUUAAUUCAGCAAUGAACUUUUCUAACUCAUGCCUUCAUUCCUCGGAAUGAAUGUAAGCAUAAGCAAAUUGCAUCAUAGAUUGUUAUCUACACGGGAAAUUGGAGGCGAUAGCAAAUCAUUUGGGC
rnacentral:lncRNA from 1 species